rnacentral:rRNA from 1 species
AUUGAACGCUGGCGGCAGGCCUAACACAUGCAAGUCGAGCGGAUGAAGGGAGCUUGCUCCUGGAUUCAGCGGCGGACGGGUGAGUAAUGCCUAGGAAUCUGCCUGGUAGUGGGGGAUAACGUCCGGAAACGGGCGCUAAUACCGCAUACGUCCUGAGGGAGAAAGUGGGGGAUCUUCGGACCACACGCUAUCAGAUGAGCCUAGGUCGGAUUAGCUAGUUGGUGGGGUAAAGGCCUACCAAGGCGACGAUCCGUAACUGGUCUGAGAGGAUGAUCAGUCACACUGGAACUGAGGCACGGUCCAGACUCCUACGGGAGGCAGCAGUGGGGAAUAUUGGACAAUGGGCGAAAGCCUGAUCCAGCCAUGCCGCGUGUGUGAAGAAGGUCUUCGGAUUGUAAAGCACUUUAAGUUGGGAGGAAGGGCAGUAAGUUAAUACCUUGCUGUUUUGACGUUACCAACAGAAUAAGCACCGGCUAACUUCGUG